AGAGUUUGAUCCUGGCUCAGGAUGAACGCUGGCGGCGUGCUUAACACAUGCAAGUCGAACGGAGUUAUCAUUUCAGAAGCAAUUAGCUUGCUGAGAGUGGAAGAGAGGAUAACUUAGUGGCGGACGGGUGAGUAACGCGUGGGGAACCUGCCCUGCACCGGGGGAUAACACCUGGAAACAGGUGCUAAUACCGCAUAAGCGCACGAGGCCGCAUGGCCAGGUGUGAAAAACUAAGGUGGUGCAGGAUGGACCCGCGUCUGAUUAGCUUGUUGGUAGGGUAACGGCCUACCAAGGCGACGAUCAGUAGCCGGCCUGAGAGGGUGAACGGCCACAUUGGGACUGAGACACGGCCCAAACUCCUACGGGAGGCAGCAGUGGGGAAUAUUGGACAAUGGGGGAAACCCUGAUCCAGCGACGCCGCGUGAGUGAAGAAGUAUUUCGGUAUGUAAAGCUCUAUCAGCAGGGAAGAAAAUGACGGUACCUGACUAAGAAGCCCCGGCUAACUACGUGCCAGCAGCCGCGGUAAUACGUAGGGGGCAAGCGUUAUCCGGAUUUACUGGGUGUAAAGGGAGCGUAGACGGCAUAGCAAGUCUGAUGUGAAAGAUCGGGGCUCAACCCCGGGCCUGCAUUGGAAACUGUUAAGCUGGAGUACAGGAGAGGUAAGCGGAAUUCCUAGUGUAGCGGUGAAAUGCGUAGAUAUUAGGAGGAACACCGGUGGCGAAGGCGGCUCACUGGACUGUAACUGACGUUGAGGCUCGAAAGCGUGGGGAGCAAACAGGAUUAGAUACCCUGGUAGUCCACGCCGUAAAC
rnacentral:rRNA from 1 species